ACCCAAUAGAUACCCGGGUGGUCCACGCCCUAAACGAUGUAUACUCGACAUAUGCGAUACACUGUAUGUGUCUAAAGCGAAAGCGUUAAGUAUACCACCUGGGAAGUACGACCGCAAGGUUGAAACUCAAAGGAAUUGGCGGGGGUUCCGCACAAGCGGUGGAGCAUGUGGUUUAAAAUUCGAUGAUACGCGAGGAACCUUACCUGGGCUAGAAUGCUGGGGGUAUGAAUCCUGAAACGGGGUUUUUUAGUAGCAAUACACCGCCAGUAAGGUGCUGCAUGGUUGUCGUCAGCUCGUGCCGUGAGGUGUUGGGUUAAGUCCC
rnacentral:rRNA from 1 species